rnacentral:pre_miRNA from 1 species
AAUAAGAUCAUUUUUCAGUUUUUAAUACAAUAUUUUGACUAUUCAUCUUAUUUGAAAUGUUUUUGGGAUUAAUAUUUUUAUUCUUACAGUGAUAAAACAUGAAUAAUACUUUAUGCGUGACUAAUUUUUUAAAGUUUUUGUAUAAUUAUUUUAAAUAAGAUAGAUGGAUAAACGUUAGAUAUGGAAAAACGAAG